CCUACGGGAGGCUGCAGUGGGGGAUAUUGCACAAUGGGGGAAACCCUGAUGCAGCGACGCCGCGUGGGUGAAGAAGCGCCUCGGCGCGUAAAGCCCUGUCAGCAGGGAAGAAAAUGACGGUACCUGAAGAAGAAGCCCCGGCUAACUACGUGCCAGCAGCCGCGGUAAUACGUAGGGGGCAAGCGUUAUCCGGAUUUACUGGGUGUAAAGGGGGCGCAGACGGCGAUGCAAGCCAGGAGUGAAAGCCCGGGGCCCAACCCCGGGACUGCUCUUGGAACUGCGUGGCUAGAGUGCAGGAGGGGCAGGCGGAAUUCCGGGUGUAGGCGUGAAAUGCGUAGAUAUCAGGAGGAACACCGGUGGCGAAGGCGGCCUGCUGGACUGCAACUGACGUUGAGGCCCGAAAGCGUGGGGAGCAAACAGGAUUAGAUACCCUAGUAGUC
rnacentral:rRNA from 1 species